AUCCCCCUCUCUGAUGAAGGGUCUAGGCCCGAAACGUCAGCUUUUGUGCUCCUGAGAUGCUGCUUGGCCUGCUGUGUUCAUCCAGCCUCACAUUUUACCAUCUAUCUGACCGAUCCUGCUAUGUAUAGAUUCUGUAAAUCCACUAGCCAUCUAACUCUGUCUCCCGGCAGGGUAAGUCGUUCCGUUUGGAGCGCCACUCCGCUUGCCAGUUCCCUUUCUGUUUUUUUUUCUCGUCUUCUUUCUCCUCUUUGCAGUAAUUAUAUCCCUUCCACCACCUGCCCUUUUUUAAUGGCCUACCUGAGGAGUUCGGUCAUGACCGGAAACCGUGUGGCAGAAGCUGAAAGUGCGGGCCGUGUCUUGUAACGACUGUGGAUCGAGCAGCGGCCGGAACGAUGGCGGCAGAUCAAGAGUGGGCCAGUUCGGCGGUGAGAACGGGCCGAUGACGUGGUAAAGUGUGGAUGGAGAUUUUGCUACUUAUCGGACCCCUACAAAAUCUCAAAAUUGAAGCUUGUAUUCUGCACACUGGAGAGUUUGUGGCUUUUCCAGCAUAUUCCCAGUGAAGAGAUGUCUUAUUUAAUCACGUCCAAGCGUUGACUGGGAAUAAACCUGGAGUAGAGACAGAUGCCAAUGUUUACAUCAACAUUUUUGGGUGAAAAAGGGGCUUCAGGAAAACGGAAGCUGCACAAGUAACAAAACAAUCAAAUAGUGUUCCAAAAAGAUCAGCCCAACUUGUCAUGGGUUGCAUACCUACAAAACUGGCCAUACAAACUAGCCAUCAGAAAUACUCAAAUGGAAACCAGAACAGAUUCUUGGUUGAUUCAACUCGCUGCUUUCCCCAAAAUAACUACAUGUCCAACAAUGGAAGUGAACAUCUCAGCAAGUGGAUGGUUCCUUGACAAUGUCGUCAUUAACUAUGAAGAAAAUAAUCAGGAAUGUUCCUUUGCAACAGAUCCCUUCCCUCAACUUGUCUUUUCAUAUCCUCAAGAAUUAUAACCUGACAAGGCUGUGAUGGAAGAGCAGAAGGUGAGAAAGUAGGAGGACAAUGAUGAAGAAAUGCCGUCAUAUAUUCAGUACCAGCACUCACAACCCUAGCCAUACAUUGGGGGCUAUCUUUGGAGGCAGAGACUACACAUGGUGUAAUACUGAAACUUGAAGCAUUUUUUCUUGUUGACUACUGUACAGGUUAACUCUAACUGCUUCUUUGAGACUUGAUUUUGUUUUGCCUUUAUGUAAUUACUGUUACUCUUUCACUAACACUCCCUCCCCCCCCCCCCCCCCCCCCCCCCCCCCCCGCCCCCCCAACACUCCAGCUCUCCUGCAGCAGGAACAUAAUGGUUAUGUUUUGGACUAACAGUGAGACUCCUAAACUGUUGAUUUUAUAGUUGUGAAUCCUAAACUCAAACAAAUUUGCUUGGGAAUUUGGAUUCAAUCAAUUAACUAAAUCUUAAGGUAAAAGCUGGUAUUGGUAAUGGUGACGUUGGAACUACUGAGUUGUUAGUAAAAUCCAUCCUGCCCUUUAAGGAGGGCAAACUGUGUUCUCUGUUUCUGGCUUAUAUAUAACUCCUAGCCCACAGCAGCAUGGCUGACUAUUCAUUGGUAAUAGAUAAGCAAAUCACUCAGUUGUCAAAAGGUGUCUCAUUCUAUAUUCUCAAGGGGAAUUAGAGGUCUGCAGACUGCAAAACAAAAAAAACUGACAACAUGCUGCUUAUUUCUGUGAGCCAUUUGAUAUGUUUGCCACAUUCUCAACUAUUUUCUAUCUACUCUCUGUGGAUUACUUUUACUAUCAAUUCUUCACAGUUCUGGAAUUUAUUGAUAUUACCUGCAGAAGCUGUAAUGUAAAUUGACUAGAAUUGAUCCAGAGUUAUGACCUCUACAAUGCAAGACACCAAGCACCACGUCUCCGAACCCCCCCCCUCCUACCUUCCCCUCAAUUGAGACCAUCAAUAACACCAUCACCUCAGGAGACCUCCCAUACACAGCCUCCAACUGCAUCGUUCCCCAACCCUUCGCCUCCCUUUUCUAUCUCCUCAGAAUCCACAAACCUGACUGCCCCAGUCCACCAUUGUCCCCACCUGCUCCUGUCCUACUGAACUCUCCACUCACGUCAACUCCAGUUUCUCUCUACGGUCCAGGAACUCUCCAUCUGCUUUCAGGACACUACACCCAUGCCCUCCACCUCCUUCAAGACUUUCAAUUCCCCGGCUCCCAACACCUCAUCUUCAUCACGUUCAUCCAAUCUCUGUACACCAGUAUACCCCUUGCAACUGGCCUAAAAGCCCUCUGCUUCUUCCUCUCCCACUGGCUCAACCAGCUACCCCUCCAUGAACACCCUCUUCUGCCUAACAGAACUUGUCCUUACCCUCAACAAUUUCUCCUUUAACUCCUCCCACUUCCCACAAGCUAAAGGGCUGGCUAUAGGCACCCAUAUGGGUCCAAGUUAUGCCCGCCUUUUAUAUGUGGAAUAGACCCUCUUCUGCAGCUACAUUGGCACUAUCCCCAGCCUCUUUCUCCGCUACAUUACUGACUGUAUUGGCACUGCCUUGUGCUCUCAUGAGGAGAUGGAAAGGUUCAUCAACUUUACUAACAUCUUUCACCCCAACCUCAAACGCACCUGGACCAUCUCCGAUACCUCCCUCCCCUGCCUGGACUUCUCCAUCUCCGGUAACUGCCUCAGCACUGAUAUCUAUUUCAAGCCCACCGAUCUCCAUAUCUACCUUGACUACACUGCCCCUCACCCACCGCCCUGCAAGAAUGUUAACCCUCCACUUCUGCAUCUGCUCACAAGAUGGAGCAUUCCAUUCCCAGACAUCCCAGAUAUCCUCCUACUUCAAGGAUUGCAAUGACCCCCCCUGUUGACACAUAAUGCCCUCAACCGCAUUUCCUGCACUUUUGCCCUCAAAACCCCUCCCCCUAACAAAAAUAAGGACAGAGUCCUCCUGGUCCUCACAUACCACCCCACCAAUCUCCGCAUCCAGUGCAUCAUCCUGCACCACUUCCACCACCUGCAAUCUGACCCUACCACCAAAGAGAUAUUUCCCUCCCCAGCUCUAUCUGUAUUUUGUAGGGACCACUCACUCUACAACUCCCUUGUCCUCACCACACUCCUCAUCAACUACACAUGGCACCUUUCCCUGCAAGCGGAGGAGGAUCUACACCUACCGUCUCAUCUCCAUCCAAAGCCCCAGACAAACUGACAGCGAUUCACCUGUACAUUCUCCAACCUAUUCUACUAUAUCUGUUGCUCCCAGUGUGGUCUCCUGUUGGUGAGACCAAGCACAGACUCAGUGAUUGAUUCUUGGAGCAUCUGUGCUCUGUAUGCUAUCAUCAACAACACCUUCUGGUUGCCAACCGUUUUAACUCUCCCUCCCACUCCCUUGGUGACAUGUCCAUUCUGGGCAUCCUCCAGUGUAGCCUCAUCAUAGAAUUCAACAGUUUCAAAAUCUUACCCACCCCCGGCCUCAUCCUAUAUCCAAACCUCCCUUUCAUCCCUGCCUCCUUGACCUGACACUACCUGUCCAUCUUUGCCACCUAUCCACCACAUCGUUCCCACUGGCCAAUCCUCAGUACCUCAUACUUGAAUCCACCUAUCACCAUGCCAUCUACCUUCCCUCAGCCCCACCCCUCUUCCCUCUGUUUAUUUCCCCACGUUUCUUUCCCCUCCCCAGUCCUGAUGAGGUGUGUAAGCCUGAAACAUCAACUUUCCUGCUCCCCUGAUGCUGCCUAACCUUCUGUGUUCCUCCAGCUACACACUGUAUUGACUCUGACACUAGCAUCUUGCAGUUCUUGCUAUCUCUGGAAGUGGUAUGUAGUGGGGCAUGGGAAUAUUUGCGGAGUGAUGGUCAGGCUAUUUGUUCAUAAUAGAUUGGUACAUCUUAACCUUUUCACUGCUGAUUGGUUCACUGCACAGAAUACCUGGUAAUUAUUUUUUUGAGUGUCGGUAACCUCUAGCCAAGGAUGUGCUUAUGGGAUGAUGAAAUGUUUGUUGAGGUCCUUGACCUCCCUGAUAGAUCUUAUAUGCCAGUGCAUGGUAGGUGGAAUAAACAUAGAAUUAGACCAUU